GCUAAGAGGCAAAGGCCUAGUAAAUGCCAUAAAAUACGUAACUUGACCAGGCCUGAAGUCCAACUACCUUUGGAUGACUAAGUUUAUCUCUCAGUCUGAGAAAUCCCAAAUGAAGAAAAUUUGCUUUAGAGUUCAUGCACUUUUAAAAUUAUUUUUAUAAAGAGUACAUUCUCAUUAAAAAAUGACUUUUUUUCCCGAAUAUUUUAUACCUUUUUUUUGGUUAAUGGAACUCUGAUGUUGACUUUUUUCCCAUGUCCUGGAGGAAAGUAAUCUUACAUCAAAAGUUUAAGUUCUCUGUCACAUUGUGGUGUUAAAUGUCAUCUCGAGAAGGGUGGGGAAAAGCCUUCAGCUGUUACUUGUCUCUUUGGCAAGUUCUAUUGCAUUCACUUUCUAUUCAGGUUGCACAUACUCAGAAAAUGCAAAUGUAGUUAAAUAAAAUUUCAGAAUAUAUGAAAAUUGAGCCCAACUGUACCAUGAAAGAAAGAUUUUUUCCCUUUCCACUGCAGGAUCAAUCAAUACUAAUUAUUUCAAUUUCUGCUUGACUGGCUGAGCUAUAUACAGUGAAUCUCCAGUGCAAAGAGCCAGCUAAUUCCAAGUUCUAAUAGGAAUAACACUUGUAGAUUUCUUUUUCUUUUCUACCUACUUUUUAAACAGGGAUCAAAACAAACAAUUUGUUUUCAUCUUCAACUUUUUCUUGCACGUUGGCUCUUUUGCUUUCUGUUCCUCUUAAUUCCUGAUUGUUUCUGAUUAAUAAAUGUGCAGUAUUUCAGAUCUAACUGUUCACACUUUUCCUAGUGGCAUCUUUGAAAUCUUCCCUUACUUUUAAGGCACCGUAUAUCAUGUAAUGUGGUUAGUGGAGCUUCUAGAAAGAAAUCAUCUAACCCAAUGACAUAUUUCUCAUUGUGUCGUUGGGCUAAGGGAUUGCUUUUAUGUCAUUUGCAAAUGUGCCUAUCUCUGUGUUCCCACCCUCAGAUAUCCUGAUUGUGAAGCUUAUGAUGUCAGUGAAGGUUUAGUGAGAAAUGGCUCAGAAGCAGAGACUGUUCAGAAACAGCUUUCCAAUGUUUAUGUUCCUAAUAAGGGGAAUAAAAACCAUUUUAGUACUAUGAAUUGAAAAACAAAGCCUUAUUGAAAAAAGAUGUCGGAGGACUCCAAAGAUAAAUUUUCUGAUGUUCCUGAAGAUAAUAUGAAGUGCUAAAAUAUUCCAUUUCUUUGACAAGUCAGGACUGUUAUACAGAACUAUGGAAAAGAGAGCCACUGCAUUUCAUGCAGAUUUACUGCUUAAAAAUCUAAUUUAAAAAAUGUGAGUGAACGCAAGUCCCUUUAUCUAUAUGAAAAUAGAUGGAAAUAUAUUCAAUGCAUUUAUGGCGUAUGAAAGGUUACAUUUAAUGUUAUCUGGUCUUGACCUUUAGACUGGAAUUCGCAUUUGAUUUUCAAUGCCUCUGCGAACGUUCUAUUUCCUGCUCAAACCCUUUCUAAAUGGCGAGCAGUGCGCACCGUGUUGCAGUAUGGAUCAUUUUACACUGAUGGUGGUAACUUUUCAUGGCUUUAUAAAGUCAACUGCUGUUUUGAAGUGACAUACUGAAUUUCAUAUCCAGUGGGGUUACACUGGAAAUAGACUUGUUCAA
ensembl:lncRNA